rnacentral:rRNA from 1 species
UUGAACGCUGGCGGAAUGCUUUACACAUGCAAGUCGAGCGGCAGCGCGGGGGCAACCCUGGCGGCGAGCGGCGAACGGGUGAGUAAUACAUUGGAACGUACCCAGUUGUGGGGGAUAGCCCGGCGAAAGCCGGAUUAAUACCGCAUAAGUCCUGAGGGAGAAAGCGGGGGACCGUAAGGCCUCGCGCGAUUGGAGCGGCCGAUGUUCGAUUAGCUAGUUGGUGGGGUAAAGGCCUACCAAGGCGACGAUCGAUAGCUGGUCUGAGAGGACGACCAGCCACACUGGGACUGAGACACGGCCCAGACUCCUACGGGAGGCAGCAGUGGGGAAUUUUGGACAAUGGGCGCAAGCCUGAUCCAGCCAUUCCGCGUGCAGGAUGAAGGCCUUCGGGUUGUAAACUGCUUUUGUACGGAACGAAAAGGCUCUGGUGAAUACCUGGGGCUCAUGACGGUACCGUAAGAAUAAGCACCGGCUAACUACGU